rnacentral:lncRNA from 1 species
AUUUAUUUCUUCUUUCUGUUGUUGUUGUUGUUGCUGUGCAGGUGUUGUUUGUUGUUUUUUGAGUCGUGUACUAUUGUUGUUAUUGUUGUUAUUGUUGUUACUCAUGAUGUUGAUGUUGUAAUUGUUGUUGUUGCUUUCUGCUGUUGUUGUUGUUACGGUUGUUGAGGAGCAACAAUGAAAUCAUGGCAAUUUCACUUUCACAUCAACAACAACAACAACAACAACAGACACAAACCCCCACCCUUAAGAUUGCUCUCUACCCCACCACCAGCAAGUAGGAAAACUAACGAACGAGCCAUAAUGUGGCCUUUCAGUCAGCUAGGAAUAGCAGCCAAAUUUCCCUUAAAUCACACCAUUUUAAAUAAGGAAAAGAUCCAUAAUAUAAGCUUACAGGAUGGCCACGACUGGAAUGACUUUGAUUAUAGGUUUACUCAAUCAAACCUGAUCUUGGCUUAAACAGCAGCAAUACCAUCUCCACCACAUCACCAUGGGAACCAAAUCCAAAACAUCAGAAAUAUCUUUUGUUCCAAUUUUGCGUAGAAAGUUCUUUUAUAUUUUAUUUCGGUGUUACAAUAUGGUGGUGGUGGUGAGGGGGGGGGGGGGUCAGUGGUGGUAGUGGCUUUGGUAUUGGUUGUGUUGGUGGUGUUUGUUCUGAUUGUUGUUGUUAUUGUUGUUGUUAUCUAUGAUUGUUUCUGUCAUGUGCCUCUGUGUGUGUGUGUGUGUGUGAGUAUUUGUUUCACCAGGUAUUCAGCUUUAUUGUAUGUCCAUGUUCUGCCUACAACACCUUAUUGUGGCCAGGCUGUCACAUCCAACAUUUAUCAGACAUGUGUCACAGAGGCAUCAUUCUGUGUGACGGGUGUGUGCCACAGUGUUCUUGUCACUCCGUGUCUGAUGAUGUGUCACAGGGAGCUUGUCCCUCUCCCUCUGUUUGCUGGUGCGUCACAAUGGCUGUUUUAGUGGUUGUUCCUGAUUGAGAGAGAUACCAUGCUACAGGUGUGACAUGCGAUAGGUGUGACAUGCGAUAGGUGUGACAUGUUACAGGUGUGACAAAUUCCUGGAAGAGCAUAUGAGAGUUGUGACACCAUCUGAUAGGUAGUGUUACAGUGUUAUUGAGUAACAUAAUCUCACGCUCUUACUCAGAUAUUGUGAUACAAUACUGUGUCACAAAAGAGUAUCCCAAUGCUGUAACAACAAGAACAGGAUAGGUGUGUAUGCGUGUUAAUGUGUGAAAGUGUAUAUGUUUAUGUAUGUAUAUAUGUGGGUAAUAAAUACAAACAAAUACAUAGUUGUAUGCCUGCGUGUAUGGGUGUGUAUAUAUGAAUUAAUAUACAUGUAUGUAUAUUAUAUGUGUAAUCGUAUGGAUACUUAAUAUAUACAAAUAUACACCUGUAUGUUUGUGUGAAUGUGUGUGUGUGUGCGCGCGUGUCUAUACACAUACACAUAUACAUAAAU